AUACAUGCAAGUCAAGGAGAAAGUUUUUUUCGAAAAAUAAUUAAACUGGCGAACGGGUGAGUAACGCGUAGGCAACCUGCCCUAGAGAUUAGGAUAACAUUGGGAAACCAAUGCUAAUACUGAAUAAUGCAGCGGAUCCUUCGGGAUAAUGUUGUUAAAGUGGGCUUCGGCUCACACUUUAGGAUGGGCCUGCGUCCGAUUAGCUAGUUGGUAGGAUAAUAGCCUACCAAGGCGAUGAUCGGUAGCUGGUCUGAGAGGAUGAUCAGCCACACUGGGAUUGAGAUACGGCCCAGACUCCUACGGGAGGCAGCAGUAGGGAAUUUUGCGCAAUGGGGGAAACCCUGACGCAGCAACGCCGCGUGACCGAUGAAGCUCUUAGGAGUGUAAAAGUCUGUCGUAAGGGAAGAAAAGUUUAGAUAUUAACAGUAUUUAGAUCUGACGGUACCUUACAAGAAAGCACCGGCUAACUUAGUGCCAGCAGCCGCGGUAAUACUAGGGGUGCUAGCGUUGUCCGGAAUCACUGGGCGUAAAGGGUUCGUAGGCGUUUUAGUAAGUCAUUUGUUAAAGACAUCGGCUUAACCGAUGAAAUGCAUCUGAAACUACUAAAAUAGAGUGUAGGAGAGGAAAGUGGAAUUCCUGGUGUAGCGGUGACAUGCGUAGAUAUCAGGAGGAACACCAAUGGCGAAGGCAACUUUCUGGCCUAUUACUGACGCUGAUGAACGAAAGCGUGGGGAGCGAACAGGAUUAGAUACCCUGGUAGUCCACGCCGUAAACGAUGAGUACUUGGUGUCGGAGGAAUCGACCCCUUCGGUACCGGAGCUAACGCAUUAAGUACUCCGCC
rnacentral:rRNA from 1 species